UUUUUUUUUUUUUUUUUUUUUUUUGCUCUGUGCUUGUGUUCUUUUGGGGAAAACAUUAAAAAGAAGGAAUUUAUUCUGACUUCCGGGUAGAUAUUUAGUGAUCUUUUAAAGAUUCACUUUGUCAAAGUAUAGUAUCCAAAAAGUAUAAACAAGACUCUUACCCAAAUAGGUAAUAAAUAUAUGUCAAGGUUAUAUUCAACUUAUUAAUAAAUAUGAAUAAAAGGAAGAUAGAAAAGCUAGAUCAAGGAGCAUUUUAAAGGGCAGUGUAUCUGUAGUAUGCCAAAAAAGGUGUUUGGGAAUGAAUUUUAUCAGAGAUAACAGGAUUAGUCCUAUACAGAAAUCAAACUGCAACCUUGGAAUUACCUUUUCUGCAGGUCAUAAGUCUACAUGUUAACAAGUAGCUUCUCAAAGUCUGAGCCCUAAUGAACUACUAAAUAGCAAAGUCAAACACUGGUGAAUUCUCCUGGAGGGUUAAAUAAUCCUUGGGUGAAUUUGUUGAACAAUGUGUGUUACCUUACCUUGUAAAUGGUAAGUUACUCUUACCAUUUAUGCUCUUGAUCGCAAAGUUUUAGAUAGCCUUUGUUUCUAAAAGAUCUCAAAUAUUCAAUUUUUCAAUUCCCUCUUCCCCUAACCCUCUUAAUACCUGACUUCUCUCUCUCUCUCUCUCUCUCUCUCGUCUGUUUUCACAGCAUACCUCUAUUACAACUAAUGACAACUCUAAAGAAUGUUAGUUGUACUUUGCUUGCUUCACUCUCCUGCUAGAAAGCAAGUUUUCUACACACAGGCCUUCUACGUAGUAGAUUCUCAAGAUACUGGUUGAAUUAAUAAUUUAACUUAAAAAAAAAUAUUGGCUGAGUUUAUAAUGCAGAGACAGGAAAUUAGAGAUAAGAACAGAAGAAGAGAAAGAUCAGUAAAUAAAUAGCCAGAAGGGGAAAACUUAAAUCUACAAAAUCUGUUGAUGUGGCAGUUUAUAAGUUGUCCAAUAAAUAGCUGGGAGAAACUCUGUGUUUUAAUGCAGUUACGUUUAGAUGUUACAGAAAAUAGAAUUCAGAGAGAAGUACUCUCAGGUUAAAUGACUUAUUAAGGCUUCCUCUAUUUCUUUGAUCUUUCAUAA
rnacentral:lncRNA from 1 species